rnacentral:rRNA from 1 species
UACGUAGGCAGCGAGCGUUGUUCGGAGUUACUGGGCGUAAAGGGUGUGUAGGCGGUUCUUUAAGUUUGGUGUGAAAUCUCCCGGCUCAACCGGGAGGGUGCGCCGAAUACUGAGGGACUCGAGUGCGGGAGAGGAAAGUGGAAUUCCUGGUGUAGCGGUGAAAUGCGUAGAUAUCAGGAGGAACACCGGUGGUGUAGACGGCUUUCUGGACGGUAACUGACGCUGAGACGCGAAAGCGUGGGGAGCAAACAGG